CCUACGGGUGGCAGCAGUGGGGGAUAUUGCACAAUGGGGGAAACCCUGAUGCAGCGACGCCGCGGGUGGGAAGACGGUCCUAUGGAUUGUAAACCACUGUCCCCAGGGACGAAGAUGACGGUACCUGGGGAGGAAGCUCCGGCUAACUACGUGCCAGCAGCCGCGGUAAUACGUAGGGAGCAAGCGUUGUCCGGAAUUACUGGGUGCAAAGGGAGCGUAGGCGGGAUGGCAAGUUGGGUGUUAAAUCUACCGGCUCAACUGGUAGUCGCACUCAAAACUGCUAUUCUUGAGUGAAGGAGAGGCAGGCGGAAUUCCUAGUGUAGCGGUGAAAUGCUUAGAUAUUAGGAGGAACCCCAGUGGCGAAGGCGGCCUGCUGGGCUUUUACUGACGCGGAGGCUCGAAAGUGUGGGGAGCAAACAGGAUUAGAUACCCGGGUAGUC
rnacentral:rRNA from 1 species